ensembl:miRNA Mir7067 microRNA 7067
AGGGCUGCAGGGGGUGGUUGCACACGGACAGUCUCUGGAUACUGAUUGCUUCCCUCCCCACAG